UCCGGUUUGUCACCGGCAGUCUCAUUAGAGUACCCUUGCGUAGCAACUAAUGAUAAGGGUUGCGCUCGUUGCUGGACUUAACCCAACACCUCACGGCACGAGCUGACGACAGCCAUGCAGCACCUGUGUUACCGUUCCCUUUCGGGCACGCCCACCUCUCGGAGGGCUUCCGUACAUGUCAAGGGUAGGUAAGGUUAUUCGCGUUGCAUCGAAUUAAUCCACAUCAUCCACCGCUUGUGCGGGUCCCCGUCAAUUCCUUUGAGUUUUAAUCUUGCGACCGUACUCCCCAGGCGGAUGACUUCACGCGUUAGCUGCGUUACUAAAGGAUUUAACUCCUCCAACAACUAGUCAUCAUCGUUUAGGGCGUGGACUAC
rnacentral:misc_RNA from 1 species